UACGUAGGGUGCAAGCGUUGUCCGGAAUUAUUGGGCGUAAAGAGCUCGUAGGCGGUUUGUCGCGUCUGCUGUGAAAACCCGAGGCUCAACCUCGGGCCUGCAGUGGGUACGGGCAGACUAGAGUGCGGUAGGGGAGACUGGAAUUCCUGGUGUAGCGGUGGAAUGCGCAGAUAUCAGGAGGAACACCGAUGGCGAAGGCAGGUCUCUGGGCCGCAACUGACGAC
rnacentral:rRNA from 1 species